rfam:Ictidomys tridecemlineatus contig014052, whole genome shotgun sequence.
GGGGCUGUAGCUCAGUGGCAGAGCACUUGCCUAGCAUGCAUGAGGCACUGGGUUCGAUUCUCAGCAGCACCA